GGUUGUGGUUUAGUGGUAGAGUGCUCACCUAGCACGUGCAAGGUGCUGGGUUUGAUCCUCAGCACCA
rnacentral:tRNA from 1 species